UGGUGAUUAGGAUAUGUUUCCCAUGCAGGCUCCAUGUAUUUGGCAUCGAACUGCUUGGGUCUAUCUAUAUCAUUUGUGGGUUCGCCUCGGCGUUUUCAUCGUCGGUCGCGACUACUUGUUGGGUUCCUGUGCUUGGUACUGAAUUUUGUAGUUGGAUGGAUUGUUGUUCCCCGUCAUGGUUUAUUGAUCCCACUCCGCUUCGCGCGGCGAUGUUGGAUAUUGUGCGGGCAUCGAGGUUUUCCUUUCGAGCCGUUGUCCCCCUUUGGGCGCUUUCGGUUGAGAUGGCACGUAGAUGCUGACGGCACUCUCGGGUACGGAGAUUUUGUGGUUAUCGCAUCGGUCUUCGACCUUUGCGAUCGUAACGUAUCGAGGCUUUCUUGCUUC
rnacentral:misc_RNA from 1 species